rnacentral:lncRNA from 1 species
CUUGGCCUCGAGCCUGGGGAAGGCGCCGCGCUUGGCUCUUGAAUCUUGCUGGCAGUUUUCCCAAGUUCCACAGAAGCCCCGGUGAGAAGUACAGUUCUGCCUCCUGUUGUUUUGGGCUGUUGUUUACGCGGUCCUGGGAUACAUAUGGCGCAUGGAAGCAAUUAAGACACACAGGUGGCCAGAGGUGGAGAGGAGCACAUCGGAGGAAGAAGAUGCAUGUGGCUGGUCGUCGAGAGGAGCACGCCAGCCAGGAGGGCUCACCGACAGACUCUGGCACGCUGGCCGACCAUCGAUCCAUCAACCGGGGCAGUCAGAGGAGAGCUGGGCCCCCCGAGAGGCCCAUCUCCAGGGAAAGACCAUCUCCCUUCUGGCUUAAUAAAACCACCUCCACUCAAUAAAACUUUG